rnacentral:ribozyme from 1 species
UAAAUAAAAAGUUAGUUCAUAAUAUACAGUGUUUAAUUUAUGUUUGAAAUAUAUAUAUAUAUAUUUGUA